rnacentral:tRNA from 2 species
UGAACAGCAGGUAGGCUUCUUUGGUCGCCAGCAUCUGGCGCACGCUGAAGUCGUUACCCAAAGUGCCGGCCUUUUGCUGCGCAG